CCAUGGCUUCCGGGCACACCUCUUAUAGAACGUUAUCCUCACUGGGAACCGUGUAUUCCACAAUUACAAUAUGUGAUUCGGCUUAAAAAAUGAAUAAAAUAUGUUUUCUUUUAAAAUUACAAUAAUCUUAUUUUACUAUAUUUUAUUUAAAGUAUUCAAAAACAUAAAGUUACAAUCGGUAAAUUAUUUUGUUUCUUCUAGAUUUCAAAAUCGAGUGUGAGGCGGUACAGUUCGUCCGAAGUAGGAAGGGCAAACCUCUAUUGCUGUACAAAGGCCAUCAGUACACGUUGAACCGUCGACGAAAACAGCUGGGCUACUGGGAGUGCGUUCACAGGCGUUCGAAGCUGAAAAGUUGUCCCUCUCGGAUAACGACGGACAACGUUCAGAUUAAGCGUGUCAAGGGCGAACACGACCACAUGCCUCCGGAGAUGAUAGAAUAUCUAUUGGAUGACUGCAAUGCAUUCCUGAAAGUAGCACCAGCAGAAUAAAAAUUGCCUUUUUGAGAUGCUCGUUUCUCUGUUUGAUUUAGUUGAUAUAAGUAAAUUUGUGCUACCAGACCGUGAACCGUGAAUGUGAUUGAGAACGUUGAAUUUUUAAAAUUUUCACAUUCGAUCUUUACAGUUCUCAUUGAACGUCUGGUGGAGCCUGAACUAAUCAAAGAGGAACCAAACAAGUUGCUGUUCGUUCGCAGUCGUUGGGGACGUAAACUUCUAAUCUACGAACGGUAUGUUUUCUUCUCCAACAAACGGGUCGAGGCGACGAAUACCACCUACUGGCGAUGUACGUUUUCCAGUAAUCGGAAAGGCCCAAACCGCUGCUCGGUGCGAUGCAUUACUAGAGACAAUCAGGUUAUAAACUUUCACGGACUGCAUAACCACCCGGAAGAAAUGUCCAAACUGCAUGGAAGACAUGUUUUCGACCAGUACAGUGUGUACGAUCCAUGAAAAAUAGUAGAACAUGUUCAAAUGAAAUUAUGCGUUUCACUAUAGUACUAGAGCGAUAUUGAGUGAAAUGCAGAAUGUCGUACAGUAUUUAUGAUAAACGAGUUUCAAUAAAAAAUCGAUCGUCUUUCAUUCCAUUACUAGAGUAUAAAUAAAUCAUUUAAAAAAUCAACUAACAGAAUACCUUUGUUUACUUAUCUGUGGCGUUUUAAGGUGCUUACUCGCAGGAGCUGAAGUUCAUCAAAAGCCCAUGGUCUACGCCGUGUCUGGUGAUCAAUGACUUCCUGUACAACUGUCACAGUACUAGAGGGAACAAGGUGUAUUGGCGGUGCCACAACUACUCUCGAAAGAAGAAGGAAGAACGAUGCAGGGCUAGAUGCGUGAUUGUGAAUGGCAGGCUGAGCGCUCUCACAGGAACGCAGCACAACCACGAUCCACACACGGAGAAAAUAGCCAAGAUUAGUCGACGUAACAAUAUGGUGGAUGAAGUACUAGAUGUAGCCAGGGCGGAUCCACCGCCGAGCUAUCUCACUAGCGGGCUCUACAGUUCAAGCUUUUUAUCCGGAGGUUCUACUUUGCUGGACAGCGGCUCCCCGGAUAUUGGUUUGAUCAAGAUCGACGUAUUGCCUAAAUUAGAAGACUACGGCUUGCCAGUUGAACUGUAAACAUGCAUUUUUAAGCUGAAUUUUUACCUCUGAAUCGCAAUAAUAAAACUAUCAAUGUUCGUGAAGCAAUACAAACCAACGUGUUAUCGCUGAUUUUAAAAUUUUUCAUCGUUUUAUUCUAGUACUGAUAAAUCCAUUAUUUCUUUGUACAGUUUUAGACUUUACCCCUUACGACGCCGCAGAGUGCCGGACGUUCAUCAGAAGCCAGCGUGGGGCUCCUCUGUUGGCCCUUGACAAUUUUAUCUACCGGUGCGAACGGGUUCGAAAAACGCGCUCCUAUUGGUUGUGCAUCCGUUACAAGAGUUCCAAGUGCAAUGGUCGCGUAAUCUGCCAGGGCAAUAAGAUUCUCAAGCUGACACAUCACUGCCACGCGAACGACGAACAGCGCAUCAACUCGUCGAUUCUCGAGGAAACGGAUCUGUCCAGCAUCAAUUUGGAGGCGUGGUACAAGCAGACCAUGAUGCACAAGAAGCAUGAGUCGAAGCGAAAAUAAAAAUUAUACAUUCUAGUACUUCAAUACCUACAUCGCUGAUUAUGAUUGAUAUGUCUCAAACCCAUGCUUUCUAUUCUAUUACUUCGCUUAUGAAACUAAUGAAAACUUUUCUCGUUGUAGCUUACAUAACGACUACUACCACCACAUCUAGUACUACAAUAGUCGAAAGCCAGAGUGGAGUGCAGAGUGUCUACUUUCGAAACGAUUUGCGGGACCAGUUGUAUCCGGAAGCCGUGCAAUACAUCCGAAGCCGCCGUGGACACCCGCUGCUAGUGUUCCGAGGGUACAAAUUUCGCCGGAAUGGCGGCUGCAAGGAGAAGGGCUACUGGCGGUGCGCCUCUUUCUGCAAGUGCCCCGGAAGGGUUACCACCGUCGAUGGGACCAUCGUUAAGUACCACGUGCACAACCAUGAACCGCCUUUCAAAGAAUCCGCCGAGUUGUUCUAGGAUUGAGGGAGGCACCAUUUCGAUAAACUGUACCAUAGUGAAUGAUUGUAAUGAACCCCAGAAUUAAUCUCCUUUAGAAUAUUUUAUAGACCAUGAUGAUAAUUUUGAUGCCAGAGCAGAAGUUAGAAUUAGUUGAGUAAAUUACGUCUUCUUGUUACUAUUUAUAGAAUGGGAUCAUCAAGGUUUCCGUGCGCUGGAGAAACAGGUAUUCCUUGCCCACGACAUUGCCAACAGUUGGAUGGCCAACGAGAAAAUCACUUACUGCCAGAGCCAGCGUGGAAGGUUUUUGCUUAUAUUUCUGGGCUACCGGUUCCGUCGAGAGAUGGUGAAGCAAUACAAAACCUACUGGCGAUGUCUGGUGGACAAAUGUCCCGGACGGAUGAUAACAAUGCUUCCAGGGGAUACGGUAAUGCGCUAUCGGAUACAUAAUCACCCGUCCAGUUUCUAGAAAACGAUCAAAUAAAUUCCGUUUAUUCAAAAAUAUACAAAUGUUGAAGUUUCAUUACGGUUUUGAAUGCGGUACUAGAAUACGGUGCGCAUAUAACAAACUUAUACGAACCCUUUUGUUUUUCUUCAAGCUUCUGGAUUGGAUUUCAUUUUCAGUCAACGAGGGCAUCCUUUGUUGGUGGUUGAUAACUUCCUGUAUCGAAAAAAUCGAGGACAUUACUGGCGCUGUAUUCGAUGUACCAAAUUCAAGUGUCGCAGCCGACUGAUUGUGAAGCCUGGUCAGAAACCUGCUCGUAUCGAAGAUUACUCGCAUGGGCCGGAAACGGAGAAGAUUAGUUGGGGCCGGACGGUGAUGGAGAACGUGAAAUCUCAUGAGCAGGGGGAUAUCGUUUUUCGAAUGCGACAACCGCACUGUAAAGUUGAUUAUGUGAUAAACCCAGAUAAGGAAUAAAUCUCUGCCAGCCAUUCUAGUACUUCAAAUCUUUUAUUUUUUAUCGUUUGAACUAGUACUUAUCUGCGAUGUUUUUACCGGUAGUUCUUUUAUCGUUUCAGUUACUGCGAUUCCGUACUGUCCUCCUGCGUUGGGCGAUCGCAAUCCGGUUCCGAAGGUGUGGUACUCCUUUCCGCUGUGCUACGUGAUCAAUCGACGCGGAACAAUGAACCUGCAUUUCCGAGGUUAUAUCUACAUCCAGAAGAAGCGGCACAACCGCACAAUGAACUGGAUCUGUAACAAGAGCAAUACGACACAAUCGAGCUGUAAAUCGAGGAUAUACACCGAGGGCAACAACAAGAUCCGCUUUGGGGUCCACUGGCACAAUCAUGGACCCGUGGAUAUGAAUGAACUGUUGUGAAAUAAAUUGAAUCAAAUGAA